AACUAAAAGAUUGUGUGAUUUUUGUUAUGUACUUACAUAUUUGCAGUGUAAUAGUUGAGAAUAACUUGUAAUAUUCAGGUUAAAAAUUUAUGCUUUUUGCGUCUUCCAUGUAGUCCUGAUUAUACCACUUGUAGUUGAUGUACCAUUGCUUUCACAUUUUGUAUGGUACUACUUUGAAGUGUAUGACAUAAAAGCGAAUUAAAACAUUUAUGAUUGCUACACAGCCCAACACGGAUUUCAGCCAGUGAAAAUGUUGCAGUUUGGAUUAAUUAAGAGGCGUCGGAGACCCAUGGUUUCUGUGACACAUCAAGAAUAUGGAAUAAAGAAUCUUGGUGACCAGUUCGUCUAUUUCGUUCAUCUCUUCUGGAAUGAAGAAAAUAAACUUGAUUAGUUAUGACAUGAAAAAUCUUAUCAGCUGGAGAGUCGCUCUUUUCUUUGAAGUAAGCUCUGGUUUCUCUGAAAUCAGAUUUUGUAUUCCCCAGGCUCCACUCUGCAAUGCCAGCGCAAACAUACAUUAGCAGCUGUACAACACUUUAAAGAGUUAGCAGGAAGAUGUUUCUGUAACACACUUUGUGAUGUAACUAAAAGAAAAGUUGGGUAUGUGAGUAGCAAAGGAGACCCAAUCCUUCCUUCCAUGUUCCUUGAUUCCUUGGAUGCGUGAUGACAUGGAUAGAUCACUGAACAAAUUGAGAUCUCGGGUUAAUGUUACACGUGUGAGUAGUUGUAUUUGCCUCUCUUUCUCAAAUUAGUCAAUUUUAACACAUAGUAUUUUGACAUAUUUGCUUUAUAUAAUUUUGUUGUUUAAGAUCACAGAGACUGUUGAAUCCCUUCACAUUCCAUUCUCAUUCACUUCACUUCUCCAGGAGUAACCUCUAAGUUUUUAUAUUUCUAUGUAUGUAUGUACCUAUAAGUCAUAUACACCUGCUCUGCCAAUAUGGUAGCCCUCAGCCACAUGUGACUUUAAAUUUAAAUUAAUUAAAAUAAAAUGCAUUCAGUUCCUCA
rnacentral:lncRNA from 1 species